rnacentral:lncRNA from 1 species
CAUUCACCUGCUUUGUGUGUUGUCAGUCCACAUCUGAAACACUUGGUGUCACUAUUGCAUUCCUCUACAUCAGUGCUUUCGUUUCCGUUUCUCGCUCUGCCUCUCUGUUUAUUAGCAUUUGCUCGUCCUCCAGUAUAAUUAGCAUGACUGUCUUUAGCCUUGCCAAAAUGAUCAGAAAGCAUUUGAUUCUACCUGUGCUGCUUCAAAUAUUCUAGCAACGAUGAGCACUCUUUGUAGUGUUAACCCUUCUACCUGCAGCAAUUUAUCUCUCAGUCUUUUGUAUGUGCAUUUUUCCACCUGCUGAUCCCUCAACAUGUCUGAUUCCAGAGCAUCAAACUCACAUGAUUUAGCCAGUUCUCUUAAUGUGUUCACAUAAACAUCAAUAGUUUUGUCUUGAGCCUGUGCUCUUUGUCUAAACUUGUGCCUUUCCAACACCACAUUUCUCUGCGGUGUAAAGUAGGAAUCAAGUGCGGCUACAGUCUGUGCGAAUAUGCCUUUUUCUCCGGAUAGAUUGGAAAGAUUCUCUGCGCUGGUGCUCCAAUACAAUGUAGCAAUGUAGCUCGUCUCAUUGUGUUCGCAGCUCCUCCGGUUCCACUGGCGAUUUCAAAGAAGUUGGGAGAUUCCAUCCAUACCUUGUAGUCCGUGUACAAGUGUGCUGCUCCGAGAUUCAAUGGAAUUGGCGGGGCUAAUUGACCAUAAGCAAGAACAGGUGGCUGUGGUCUACUAACCUGUACCCCCGCACAUUGACUCGUUAUUGUUAUUUUAUUGUGUUACUUUUUUUGCUUUAGUUUAUUGAGUAAAUAUUUUUUUAACACUUAUUUUCUGAAAACUGCGUUGUUUUUUAAGGUCUUGUAGACGGAUGCCAUAAACAGGCUGUCAAUGGAAAAUACUGUCGGCUGCAACUGUGUCAAAACAGGAUAGAACACCGUACAGCUGUUUCACCCACACCUCAGGCAGAGCAGACCAGAGCUGAGCUGUGAAGUAAAGGGUGAGGCCCUCUGGCUGAGGAUCUCCGGAAGCCUUCAGAGAAAUAAUCCCCAAAAGAAUAGUCUUCCACUGAGGUAUGGUCUUCUCCUGAAGUAUGCUAUUCUCCUGAGGAUGAGCCUGUAUUGGUCCUCUUUCUACCCAGGAUGACCCAGCCCUCCAGCCCAUAGGCUCGUUAUCUACGGAUUACCCUUCCCUCAGGCUGCUCUCUAUCUCUGGUCAAAGUAUCAAAGGCUAAUAUGUGUUUCAAUCCAAAAUGAUGGAGUUAGAGGGGGUAAAAGUCGUCUUAAUUUGAGCACCAUGACGGAGCAUGACCUUAUGAUCUCAAUCAUGUCUCGUUACUCGAGUCGAGGCAAUUUAGCAUGGGUCAGAUCUAUACUCUACAACAUGGGUCAAUUCCCCAACAGCGGAAAGCAACGCUGCAGACACUUGAGGAGAUUUGACUCCCCUGAAGUGUAUCAAUUUUAAUGACACACAGCCCUGGGCAGAUUGAACUCACCAUGACCAAAGGAAAGCUGUCAAACCAGAAAGAAGUCAAAACUAGAGGAUCCAGUCAGACUGUCACUGAUCCUGAGUGGAUCAGGUGUUUGUCAAUUAAAUUAGUCAAAGUAUAAAAUGCAGCGCAACAGUAAGCAGCAUCACUGUACAGUGUGAUGGUCCAGUUGAUGUUCAUGCCAUUGCCUAUGUUGUUAAUGUUGUGCUUUACAAAGGGCCACCCAUGUACUCAACAUAAAUAUUUGAAAUGCCUUGCUCUAGAAGCCAUAUCAUUUUUAGGGAUUGACCUUGCGGUCACAAGUCUGAUCCUCUGACCACUUCUCUACUCAUGUCAUAUGUCACGCUUGGGGCUUCUCCUGUUCAGAACUGCUGCCUAAGCAUAAUCUGAUAUCCUCAAUUGCAAUGAGCAAUGGAAAUGCACUGAAUGUAAUGUCACAUUGCAAACAACUAUGUAGUAGACUGGUAGCCUCUAAAUUCCUAUGACAAUAUCUCACAGAACCACUGCUUGCAUGCUGCAACCCUGUGAAUACGAUUGGUGUGAAACUGCACGUUGGGGGGAAAGUUACUGCUGAGGUGUGGCUUGGCAUCCUUUACUGUUCACCCCACUUACAACACAUUUUUUAUGGGCGCCGGUAGAAGUAGCUUUCGUAAAAACAGAGUUCACUUUGUUAUUCAGAUCUGAGUUCACAGCAUGCAGUGACUUAGGAUCAAUGGCAAAAUGCAUUGAAUUUCAUAAUGGCUUGGCUUCCAACUUUGGAAUGCUCCUUCACAACAAUUCAAUUUAGCGCCAUAAAAUCUGUCAACUGUAAACGACUCAGAAAGAGAACAAGUUUCACAACACCAAAAGUAACUGGGAGAGAGGUUAUGCCCUUGCUGUAACCCCCAGCUUUGAACUAUUGAUUGAGCUGCAGCCACUACAAGAAACGCUUAGUCUCUAGCAUAAACUCACGGCGAUCUAUUCAAGAUUCAAAAUUAUGUCAUUGUUUGAUGCAGUAGAGCGUCAAUCGACUUUAGGGGGAUAUUAUCAAGAGAGAGAGAGAGACGAGAGGCUAUGUUUGAGCCAUUGUUGACAAAACCGAAAUGCCACAGCACCCUGAUGGCCUAGGCAUGGCCAUUAGGACAGAGGAGCAGAUAGGGCCUCCAGGGGCCUGAGGAGGGUAAAUGGGGCGGUGCCAGAGUGUUUACAUGGCUCUAAUUGGCCAAGAUAAGUUGUGUCUCAUCAAACCCAGAAAGUAAAGCACUGAUGUUGGUGAUUCAUUGUAUCACCUUGGAAAUCACAGCUGCCAUUCCCUAAAAGGCAUUUCCUGUUUAUUGGGUAUGUGCAACGCGUUUUAAACUAACUGUCUAAAUACCGUUCCUAAAUUAGGAUGAAACAAGGAAGUAAAAAAGGGAAAAGUCUAGUUUCUCUUUGAGAACAAGGUGACUCAUCACCCCUCCCAUGUCUUCUUCAUGUUUACAUUGCCUUUCUUCUCCGUCAUAGUUCUGAGAAUAGAAUCAGUAGAAUCACUCUGCUUUAUUUCAUGCUGAGUUGUCAGAAAAUGGUUCGAAGCCUUUCCAAUCCAUGUCCCCUGUGUAGGAAAAGGUCACUGACUCAAUAUCCACAUUGAGCUAAACAGGGUUUCCCUAGCCUGCGGUAUUCAUCUUUAACAGGGAGUGGAUUCAGGGUUUUAAAAAUGGUCAGA